AGGGUUUCGGAAAAAAAAUUACUGCCGGAGAAUCCAAAUUUUUGCUACGCUUUUUUGAAUUUGUUAUUUGCUUAAUGUAGUUCCUGAUGAGCAGAACUGAUUUGGUCUGGGUGCACAAAGAGCAACCUGAGUGUUUUUUUGAUAAACUACAGGCUGCAACAACCUGAGGUUUUUUUGAUAAACUACAACAACCUAUUGUUUGUUUGAUAAACUGUAGCAACUUGAGGGGUAGGAUGAAGAAUUGGCUCAUACAAUUGAAGUCCAUGUAACAAGACCAAGCUCUAAAACAGAGCUGAAACAUUGAUAUGCACCCACAAAAUUUACAUUAUUACUCAACUUUCAAAUAAUAAGAAACCUCUAAAAGGUUCAUUAUAUGAUUAUAUCCUUUUUUUAGCAUGUUGUUGUUUACUAGAUUUUUUUAUUUAAUAAACUUAUUAUAUAUGAUUUUGAAUUUGCUGAUAUUGUCAGGUUGAGCUAGAUGAGCCAAAGUUCUUGAAUAAUAAUAGUUAUAUAAAUAAAUAUCUAAGGCUCUAUGCAAAGAGAUUUGCUCU